GAAAAAUUAAUGUACAAAUUCAAAUGGAACCACAAUAUACCACAAAUAGCCAAAGCAAUCCUCAGGAGAGAGAACAGUGCUGGGGUGUAAUUAUUCUACAGAGCUAUAGUGACAAAGACACACUGGCAUAAAAAUAAAAGGAAGAGGCUGGUGAUUGAUGGUGGUGCAUGCCUUUAAUCCCAGCACUCAGGAUCUCCGAGUUCAAGGCCAGCCUGGUUUAUAGAGUGAGUUCUAGGACAGUCAGGGCUACACAGAGAAAUCCUGUCUUGGGGUGGUGGGGGGAGAAAAGAAGACCAAUGGAACAGAAUAGAGGCAAAAUGGCAAAUUCCCACCAAAUUCAUGACAAAGAAGGCAGAAAGAUACUUUUAGAAAACACCCUCCCCACCCCCACCCUGCUUCUCUGUCCCUCUUCUCUGGUUCUUUCUCUCUCCCCUUUCCCCCUUCUCUUCUUCCCUUUCCCUUCAAUAAACUAAAAUAAGAGAGAAAGAAAGAAAGAAAAAAGAUGGCCUGCUCAACAGAUGGUGCUGACAAAUUAGUUUUUUUAUUUUUUUGUUUUUUUGAGACAGGGUUUCUCUGUGUAGCUUUGGAGGCUGUCCUGGAACUCACUCUGGAGACCAGGCUGGCCUCGAACUCAUAGAGAUCCGCCUGCCUCUGCCUCCCGAGUGCUGGGAUUAAAGAUGGGAUUAGAUUCGUUUACCUUGAACAAAAAUCAAUUCAAAAUAGAUCAAAGACCUUAACUUAAAACUAGAAACACUGAAACUUCUAGCAGAAAGCACAACAGAGUAGUACCCUUCAAGAUACUGGAAUAGGCACAAACUGUUUUUUUGAGAGGGGGUUCCUCAACUCACUCUGUAGAUCAGGCUGUUCUGGAACUCAAAGAGUUCCACCUGCCUCUGUUUCCCAGCUGCUGAGAUACCAUAUUACUAUGGUAAUAACUUUUUAAAUAGAACACCAGCAGCACAGGAAGUAACCCCAGUAUCAAUAGAUACAGGAGUAUAAAAAGUUUCUCUACAGAAAAGGACAUUAUCAGCAGAGUUAACAGACAGCCCAGAGUGGGAGAAAAUCUUAACUAGUUACACUUCAGAUAUAGGCUGAAGUGUAGAAUUUACAAAGAAAGCAGAAAUUAAAUACCCAGAGAAUAAAACUGUCAAUCAACACAUGGGCAAAUGAACUGAAUAGAGAGAAAAAAUGAAGGAAGGAAGGAAGGAAGGAAGGAUGGAAGGAAGGAAGGAAGAAAAGAAAAAGGUUCACUAUCCCUAGUCCCUAGGAAAAUGCAAGUUAAAACUAUUGCUGUGAAAUACCACUCUAGUCAUCAUGGCUAUCAUGCAAAAAUCUGAUGAUAAAUGUUGGAGAAAAUGUGGAAAGAAUUGAAACCAUCACCUGUUACGAUAAAUCUUUCUGCCAAAAGCUGUCUGAGCCCCACCGCCACAUGUGAGCUUUAUGCCAGCCACCCGCCCGAGUUAGGCCCAAAUGAAUACACAGAGAGACUUGUAUUAGUCACAAAGCUGCUUGGCCAAU
rnacentral:lncRNA from 1 species